rnacentral:piRNA from 1 species
UUCCACUCUCCCUCCAGGCGUCCUUAGG